rnacentral:rRNA from 1 species
UUGGGCAACCUGCCUCAUACAGAGGGAUAAUCAUGUGAAAACGUGACUAAUACCGCAUGUCGUUUCGGGAGGGCAUCCUCCUGAAAGAAAAGGAGCAAUCCGGUAUGAGAUGGGCCCGCAUCUGAUUAGCUAGUUGGUGAGAUAACAGCCCACCAAGGCGACGAUCAGUAGCCGACCUGAGAGGGUGAUCGGCCACAUUGGGACUGAGACACGGCCCAA